rnacentral:lncRNA from 1 species
GCCUUGGCCUCCCAGAUUGCUGGGAUUACAGGUGUGAGCCACCGUGCCUGGCCCUAUAUAACUCUUUGUGCAAGUUUUUACCCCUAAAAGAUAUCUGCCAUCUCAGCCAUGGAACAGACACUGUAAGAACAUGAAGGCUCAAGGGCAGGGCUGGCUACAUAAUUUGUGGGACCCAUUACAAAAUGAACAUGGAGAAAAAACGAGAAGAAAGUGUAGUACAAGAGUCGGGGUCUCCCUAUGUUUCCCAGGCUGGCCUCGAACUCCUGACCUCAAGUGAUCCUCCCACCUCAGCCUCCCAGAGUGCUGGGAUUAAAGACGUGAGCCACGGCACCUGGCCUGAAUUUUCCUCAAAUUCAAAAAAUGCUGAUGAAGGUUUGGCUAAAAUCUUUGGUGAGUUACCCCACUCCCUGUGGAACCUCAGGCUGGAUUUGAAGAGUUGCGUGCAUGGUCCUCAUUGUCUCCCAGGUAACCUGUUCCCGCUGCUGUGAAGGGAAGGCAGGUGCUCUUCCUUGAGGCUAGAAUCUGUCUACGUGUCACAGUCUCAGGAAAUUAAGCAAAACAGAUGAUAAACACCUCAAAAGGACCCUACUGAGCAUGAGUGGAGCAGACCAGGGCCAUAUGGGACUGCGGCGUCAGAUGCCACCUCACACUAGCUGUGACACACCUGCCUCGCCAGUUUCUGCUCUGAGGCCCCAAAGCCAAGCUGAACCUCCUCCAGGGGUUCUCAGCCCUAACUGAGCAUGAGAACCCCUGGGGCAAUCCUCUUUUUAACAAUUGAGACAUUCCACACACACCCCACAUCAGAUUUUGGGGUGUGGGGAUAGACCUUCACAUUUGUAGUUUUCUAACCCUCCAGGGGACACUAGGCUGAGACUCAUUGGUCUCCACUCUGAACCUUCCAUUGAACAUGUGAGAAAAACUAAGGCCCAGGGAAGUCUUUAGCAGAGAGCUGAGACGGAGAAAAGGGUUCUGAACCACAGCUGUCUGCUGAAGGAAGCUGUCCAAAGGCCAGUGAAGUCUCUCCUGAGGGUGCCUGGGCUGUGCAUCAGGAGUGAAGGUUGAGGGUCACCUUAGGUGUGAGAAGGAGCAACUGGGAGAGUGGCGCUGAUGCUUCCCCCCGGGUUAGGAGGCAUUUGGAUCACAGAGCGAUGCCUGUUCAUUCCUGCUUGCAAGGGAGCAGAUCUCUCGACACCCGAUGGGCCUCUAUUCCGUUCCGGCAGCUGUCGGUGUCAGGAGCGCUGGGCUUGCUCCUCCCCACGGGAGCCAUCACAGAGGCCUCGGGCAGUCUGCAUAGACAACUGCCUGGCAGGUGACCAGGAGGGGAUGCAUGAGUAGAUGCAGGUAGCACUCGCAGUCCCCCUAGCUGUGCCCUCAGCACCUGCUGUCUAGGAGGCAGAAGCCUUGUUCUCGGCCUUGCAGGUGACCCCAGUGUCUCUGAAUUCGGCCCCAUAUGUGUAGGAGGGGAGUGAUUGCAUCUGAAGAUGGGAGUCCGGUUGGGGGUUUGGGAAGCUCCCAUCACCCCUCAAGAGUCCACUGACCAGCCCAGCUCACACCAGGUGGGCCUUGGCAUUGGAGGCCACGGCUCAACUCUGCAGUUCCCUCUGGGCAGCAUUUCCAGGGACUCGUAGGUCAGCACGGUCAUCAAGGACGGGUGGUGAGAGCAGCUCCUCAUUGUCCUGGUGACCCCGAUGGUUCAUUUUCUGGUGUCUCUGUGGUGAGCUCCUGUUACAUCAAGCGAGUGGAAACCACCGAGGACCAACAGCCCUGGAAAUGCACUGAGAAUGCAGGAUGAGUGGGGUUUGUGAGGACUGUUUUCUGUGACUUAGCAAGGAAAGCCUGGAAGGGAAAGUAAAACUGCUUCUUCCCAGGGAAGCCAGAAACCUAAGAACUUAAAAGGGAAGGAGAACUUAAUAUAUUUCAAAAAUGUAACCCUUGUGAAUUAGCAACAGCUUUAUAAACAAAGAGAUUUCCGAGCUUAUAGAAUCUAUUCUGCUUUGUUUCUGCCCCCAUGGCUCCUACCCCUGUUUUUGUGGGUGCAAUUUUCAGAUAGAACAUUUUUACACAAGCUUCAAAACUCUCUGAGGACAGCUUUCCCCUUUGCGUCUGUCGGGUCCCAGGCAGUCACAUCCCAGGAAGUGCUGGGGUUGGGCUCCUUGCUCCACAUCCUUCUUCAGUGGCACGAAGCGUGGGGUGGAGUGUGUGAGUCAUGUGUGAUCUUGGUGUGGGCUAUGGCUGGUCUGCAGCACCCCUUCAAUGACUGCUUCAAGGGCUUUUCAUGAUGCUUGUAGCUCAUGAGCUAGUGUUUCCUAGACGCUGUUUCCAGGUGUCUUGCAUGUCACACACUGGCCUACCAGGGCUGGAGUGAGAUCAUGAGCGCCAGAUUGUUGGUGAAGGAAGUUGACAGAGACAUCGAAUGUCGGUGAACAGGAGUGACCUUGGGUCUCAAUAAAUACUGUGGUCUACUGAAUCCAGAACCCACCCUUACCAGCAGGGCCCACUUCUUCCCCAGCAGGCCGAGCUCUUCCCCUCCUGUCUUCCCUGGCCCUUGCUUUGUAGCUCUGUGUGGCUGUGUCAUGUCUGGUUGUAUCUGUGUAUACUUCUGCCUCUCCCGCUAUCUAGAUGGCUCGGGGAGGCACACCACACACCAGGUCACCUUCCUCUCUGAACCCCCAGCACCUCAUACUGUUUCUGUGCAGAGAUAAGGCUGGGUGAAAGCUUGUGUGAAUGAUCUGAAGUCUUCUACUCUAGGCCAGUCUCCAGGAGCAUUAUGAUCUUUAGGAGGGUGGGCUUGGUUCCUCUGUACAAUAAUGGGUCAUAAAACUGAGUGGUCAAGAUCAUCCCGGUGAGGGCAGUCCGUGUGUUGCCAUAGUUGCUGUACCGGUUAAGAAUGCACCUGGCUGCAAUUUCCUGAAAACCUGACGUAUAGUGGCUUAAACAAAGAGUGGUUUAUUUUCCUUCUGUCAUAGCAAUCUGGGGGAGGCCACUGUGGCUUUGGCGCAGGAGGUCGGGAAAGGCCCGCUUCUCUGAUAUCACUGGGGGCCUCCCCAGUGCUUGUGUGGCAGAAUGACAAGAGGAAGAAGAAGGAGAAUUAUGGCACUGAGUAUCAUGAGAUUUGGGGUCAUAUAUCUUUAGUGGGCGGUGUUUGCUGCCCCAAAUGUCUCAUGCCAUUAAAAUGUUCUGGAAAUGAUUUAGGUAGUUGGAGUUUC